rnacentral:lncRNA from 1 species
GCAGGGGUUCCGAGGCGGACCUGGGGAGCAGAAACCCCUGUUUAGGGUGAACCGUGGCGGGCGCCGAUGGCCUCUUGGAAGAGGACAGACUAGCAGCUGCGAGGGAGAUGGGACUGGGUUUCACCCCUGAAAGGGCCCCUGGAGACAGCGGGUGAGGGACAGGGGAAGGGGCUGGUGGUCCUCUCUCCCGAGGCCCCGCACCAUCACACGGAUGACUUGGCACAAUAGCUGCUGGGCCAGUGUUGUCGCCUGUGACUGUACUUUAGGGAAACUGACAGGGAGAUCAUGAUGUCGCCAUUUUGAUGGGGUCCCCAGAGGAGAGAUGUCCUCCCCAACGGCUCCUGGACAGGACUGGGGAAAGAGUUCAGAUAAGUAUCUCUGUGGUCUGGGCUGUCACCUUACAACUGCACAACUCUGGACCUCCAGCAUCAGAACCACUGGGGCCUAGGUUAAUAAUACAGAUUUUCAGGCUCCAAUUUGGACAGACGAAACUGAUCUCUGGGGUGGGACCCAGGAAUCUACGUGUAAACAAGCACCCAGGGGAGUUCUGCUCACUGAAAUUUGAGAAUCCCUGAUUUAGAAGGAGGACUAUGCUCUGUGCAUGUUCUCUGAAAUGUUGGGUCAAUCAGGACCUGUCUACUGAAACUGCUCCAACCAGCCAAGGUGCAGAGAAAAGAUGCGUGCAGGGCCGAAAACCAGGGUGCUCUGGAGGCAGGGAGCCCUCGAGAAUGUAAAGCCAGCAAGCUGUUACAGAGUGAUUUGCACAGAACAGACACUCAGUUGAUAUUUGUCAAUUUGCUGUGUUUAAGAACCUUGCUGAAUUAAUUUAAAAGGUAUUUUUAAAAGAAUGAAAUUGAGGAAAAAACCUUCAAGGUUCAGAAAAUGUGAAGUUCUCAUUUACUUGUUUAUGAAAUUGUUUUUGAGUCCAAUAAAGAUGCUCAGCUAAAAUGGUUUUUUUGUUUUAAAUCUCAGAAUUAAGUUUCUCUUAGUUUUGGGCAGUUCGGUCCAGCUACUUGCAAAAGACAGGCUUCCAUAUCUCCUGUAUGCAGCCCUGAAGGACCCAACAGAAGUAAAAUAGUUAUUUAAGGAAUGCAAAGGACUAGGGACAGGAUGCAGAUUAAAAUGUUUAAGAUGAUGUCUGCAGAUGAUGUUUGUAGAUGCUUAAGUUUGUUGAAUUCUUAGUCUUCCUCACAAAGCAGCUAAUUACUUUCAAGACUCUAGUGAGCCUCAAUUUACUCCAAUUUAUGAUUUCCAAUGGUUCUGCAUAAAACUGGGUUGCCGUUUUAUGAAAUUGUUUGCAUCUGCUUGACGUGGGCGCAAACUUCACAGUGAGGAGAUAAUGUGAGGGUUUUGCCUUCUUGCAAAACAACUUACAUAUAUAUGUGAAAAAACUGGGGUUGGGGUUUGAAUUAUGUGGACUGCCUGUGCGUAGUAAGCUCUCUGGUCAGUUACCUAUUUGGCUUUGUGUGGACACAGCUCUUAGGAGGGAGGGUGGUGGAAUUCCUGCUCAUUACCUAUAGUAUCUUGCAGGAGGGCUGCUGAACGCCGGAGCCUUACAACUGUUAAACUCAGGCAGAGCUCGGGAAAUGCUGCCCGGAUGGGUGAGUCCUUUUAACACCUCUUGGGUUGAUUUUUCUCACAGGUUUUCGGGGUUUGCAGAGCUCUGAGACUGUGACCACAGGGUGAGACCUCAAGCUGCCCAGUACUGUGGCCCCAUUUCAGAGGCCUUGGGCCUGGGCCAGAGAUGGACGCUGGGGCUGCCUUUUACUCCAAGUUUUUUUCUUCAUUGGUCAUUGGUCAUUGGGCUCCAAGAAAAGCACUUUUUCAGGAAUCAAAGAAGCAGUGAUGGAACGAAAAGCAGAGAAAGCUGAUGAGCCCUGAAUGGAGGUGAAACUUCCAGGAAAUAUCACUUGCCUCUUGAUUAGGGGAAAUCACUUUUGAAUGACCCCGAGUUUUGUGCCCCAAGCAUAGAUUCUGGCAGAAAGAAACAGUCUGGACUGAUGACACACUACAACAUUUGGUCAUGUGGAAAGAAUGAUCUUCAGGAAAAAUCACACCCUUGGCAAAGGCUUUUUACAGAGGCAAGGGCGAGCCGGCCAAUUCUGACAAUAUUCCAGUGGCAAGGGAGCCAGGCUGACUCAGUCAUCAUUACUUGUGUUUCGUCUCUUCCUCCCACAUCUCCUUGUAUAACUGUCUUUUGGGGAGGGGUGAAGUGAUAGUAAGAAAAACAACAGCACUUUGAAAAAGGGACAGGGGGAGAAACAAGAAGGGGAGAAAGAGUUGGGGAGAGCUCUUGGGUGAUGGGGAGAUAGCACUGGGGAUGUUCUGGAGCCUGACAGAACUGUGUGGUCCCUCCAGCUGGAGAUGCUGGGAAAACAGGAAGGGAUUCGGGAGACGGCAGGGAUGAAGUUGGCUCAUGAAAUGCAGGGCUCCCUUAGCACUUUACAAAUACCAGCUUACAAACACUCCACAGUCAUCAGGAAACCCUUGAUGGAUGCUGCACAGAGAUCGAAGUUCAGGAGCAGCACCAAUAUUCAUCCGGGGCAAUUGGAGUGAGAGCAGCACAGGAUCACAGCCUGAUUUGGCCUCAGAGGCUUUCUUAUCUCUUGCAAGAUCUGGAAGCCAUGCAAAAGGUGUCAUGGGGAGAGGCGCUGAUGUCAGGCAUUUAUGGGACCACUGAGUGGGGGCAAAGAGGCAGGAGAAAAAGCCAGUGAUGAUGGGUCGACACCUGCAGGUAGACCCAUUUGCAGGUUAUUAGAAACUAGCUUAUUUAUCCAGCUUUUUUUUUUUUUUUUUUGGAGAUGGAGUCUUGCUCUGUCGCCCAGGCUGGAGUGCAGUGGCGUGAUCUCGGCUCACUGCAACCUCCACCUCCCAGGUUCACGCCAUUCUCCUGCCUCAGCCUCCCAAGUAGCUGGGACUACAGGCAUCUGGCACCACGCCUGGCUAAUUUUUUUGUAUUUUUAGUGGAGACGGGGUUUCACCGUGUUAGCCAGGAUGGUCUUGAACUCCUGACCUCGUGAUCCACCUGCCUUGGCCUCCCAAAGUGCUGGGAUUUCAGGCGUGAGCCACCGCGCCUGGUCCUCCAGCUCUCUUUUUGUGGUUAUCUUAGACGCUAUGAAUCUACUUGAAAACCAAGACGAUUGAUCCUUUAAGUGAGCUGCAGGUGUCCACCUGGGCGUGUUUUCUGCUUCUAAGCCACAGGCAAUUCGGUGACUGAUGGAGAGGGGCUACCACUCUUCCAGCUAAACUCCGCUCUGGUUGGGACCCAGCAAUUAUUUUCCAUAGCGAAGUGUUAAUAAAAUAUCUGUUACUCCCAACACAACCUCCUGGGGGAAGGGACCUGUCUGUCUGCUUCAACUUUGGAUCCUCAGUGCCCACAUCAGGAUACCUGGCCUGAGAGAGGGUCCUGCCGGUAUUACCCUGGAGGAAGGAAUGCUGCACAGAGGCCGAGAGGAAUUUGAACAGACUGGCCUUGCUGGGUUUUUAUCUCUUUUUGUCCAAUCCCAUUUUGACACAGUUGUCCAUGCUCCAAUCAUGCUUAUCCAAUGAAGUUUCCAUAACAGGCCUGAGAGGACAGGGUUCAGGAGCUUCCGGACAGCUGAGCAGGUGGAGGUUCCUGGAGGGUGGUGUGCCAGGGAGGGUGUGGAAGCUCUGCCCCUUCCCCCAUACCUUGUCCUAUGCAUUCCUUUAUCUGCAUCCUUCAUUUUAUUUUAUUUUUUUUUGAGACGGAGUCUUGCUCUUGUCGUCCAGGCUGGAAUGCAGUGGUGCGCGAUCUUGGCGCACUGCAACCUCCGCCUCCCGAGUUCAAGAGAUUCUCUUGCCUGAGCCUCCCGAGUAGCUGGGAUUACAGGCACCCGCCACCAUCCCUGGCUAAUUUUUGUAUUUUUAGUAGAGAUGGGGUUUCACCAUGUUGGCCAGGUUAGUCUUGAACUCCUGACCUCAGGUGAUCCACCCACCUCAGCCUCCCAAAGUGCUGAGAUUACAGGCGUGAGCCACAGUGCCCGGCCUGUAUCCUUUAUAAUAUCUUUUAUAAACAACCAAUCAGUAAAUGUGUUACUCUGACUUCUGUGAGCUGCUCUAGCAAAUUAAUCAAAUCCACAGAAGGGUCAUGGGAACCCCAACUUGAAGCCUGUCCGUCAGAAGUUCCAGAGUCCUGGACUUGUGACUGGUGUCUGAAGUGGGCAAGUCUUGGGGACUGAGCCCCUAGCCUGUGGGAUCUGAUGCUAUCUCCACAUAGAUAGCAAUGGAAUUGAAUUGGCGGGCACCUGGCUGGUGUCUGCUGCAGAGCUCAUUGUUUGCUUAGUGGUGGAGAGAAGUCUCCCUCCACAUGUGGUCACAGCAUCUUCUGUCUGUGUUGAUUGCUUUUGAUGUUGAUCGAGAGAACAGGAAAAAGCACAUUGAAUGUCUCAAUGAUGAAGAUGACAAUAAUCUGGCUUCUAGGUUGUUAUGCGGCAGGCAACAGCUGUGCAGAUCCUAAUAAUCUACUCUGGGUGACAGUUUAACACAGGGGUUGGCAAAUGUGGCCCACUUCCUAUUUUUAUAAAUAAAGUUUUAUUGAAACAUGGCCAUGCUCAUUCAUUUACAUAUCAUGCUGCUCUGCUAGAGUUGAGUGGUGGUGAUAAGACACCUAUGGUCAAUAGAGUCCUUUACAGAAGAAAGGAUUUACUAUUCGGCCCUUUACAGAAAAAGUCUGUCAUCCUGCCCUCAUUCAUUAGUAGACAACCAGCUGGUUCCUGGACUUCCUUGAGGAAAGUGCUAUAUUAAGCAGUUGUGGGUAUAAAGUCUGGGCUCCAACACUUGCUCUGUGACCUUGGGCAAGUUACUUACCUAGUCUGGGCUCAUCAUUUUCACAGGUAUAACAGGAGUAAUGACAUGGUGGGGAUGAAGUGGGAUAUUGUCUGGACCACGCUUUGCAUAGUGUCUCAUGGCUAGGAAGUACUCUAUACAAAGUAGUUACUAUUAUUAGCUAUUAUAUUUCAACUGAUGAAAGGUACAAAGAAACUCCCAGGAAGCGGGUCAUUGCUGCAUGCCGCUGUCUUUAAAGAACGCCCAGCAGCAAUCCCAUACGUAGCCAACAAGAUAUGUGGACGUCAAAAGUAAGUGCUCCUUGGGUGCAGCACACCAACAUGGCACAUAUAUACACAUGUAACAAACCUGCACGUUGUGCACAUGUACCCUAAAACUUAAAGUAUAAUAAUAAAAAAAUUUUAAAAAAAAGUAAGUGCUCCUAUGCAACAUACCCAGUAAAUUAAUGAUUCCAACUUCCUUUUCAGUUAAAGCAGUGGAUCAGAAUUUGAAAAGGAGUAAAGGUCAAGGCCAUGAGGUCUAACUAACACGGUAGCAUCAGAGCCUGGCCCAUAGUAGGCCCCCAGUGUCUACCGGCUGAAUGGAUGGAGGCUGGUUGUUUAACUGUCAAACCAUACUCUCUGAUGAUAAGACCACAGUUAGCCAGAAGAUAAAGUUUCUGCCUCCAAUAUUUUUGGGUCUUAGAAAGGAAAACAGUUUGCUAAAGAUGACAGGAAACUCAAAACAAGGACCUGUUAAUGCUUCCCCCAACUGGACGGAGGCAUUGCAAAAGGAUUCCUGGGCAACAGAUGGGCAAAGAAAAAUGUUUAAAAACAAAAGCAGGCACAUAAGGUCAUGAAUUGGCCCAAAAUAACCUGGGACACUGAGCAGACGGAUGCAAGCAGUGCACCUGACGGAAAUGAGGCCAAGCUGAUGAGCUGAAAUAGCCUCACUGGUGCCCUCCAUCCUGCUUUAGGAGGCCUCAGCAUGGCAAAGAGGCAUGCAUUAGCGUUAUUAGGUUUAGGUUUCCUCACAUCCUUAGUGGAUUGCCUUCAUUCCUAAGUCCCUAAAAAAUUGGAAACCACUCCACUUACCAGGAGCACACUUUGGAAUGCAGAUCUGGAAGCUAUUUUUUCCCUCCAGACAUUUCAUGACUUUGGUUUCUACAACAGCAGGCGAUGGUGAUGCUGCCAAGUUUCAAGAGAAGGGCACCUUAUCUGCAAAGUCACGAAUCCAAGGAUCCACAUGGGCUCCCACUGGCAAGGGCGGAAGGAAGUUGUGUGUCUUAGCUUCUUGAAAGAUCAGAAGAAGAUUGGGAGGUUUGGGUAUACAGGUACCUCACUGUACUGUGGUGCAACCCCCAGGGGAAAGACUGCUGGUAGCUUCUCAGAAUCAGUAGUGGGUGGGGGCUGUGUAGCAGAGCGUCGUAGUAAAUGCCCAUUUGGUUGCAAUGAACAGAAACUCAAACCAGCUAAAGCAAAAAGAGGGCACCUAUAGGGAAGAAAAGCCAGCUCCUGAUGUCCAAGCCUGACUCUUCAGCUUUGCAUAGCCACUGAUUCUCUGACCUUCCUCAUUUCCUCCCAGUAAACUCUCUUUCUGUUUAAGUUAGCCACAGGAGGUAUCUGUUGUUUACAACCAAGGGAUCUUGAGUGAUACAAAGGGUCCUAGUGGAACCCAAGGGCAGGUACUGGAACUGGCCUUCACAAGGAAGGGAACUGGGAAUCAGAAAGUCAUUGGGAAUCAAGGUAACUUUCUUCUGGGUCAGCUGGGAAUGUAUUCAGCUUCAAAUAGCAGAAAACCCAAUGUGAGUAGAUUGUAAAAAUCUGGAGCUCCUCCCACACAGACUCUGGCUUUAUCUGAUGGGAUAUUAACAAACAUAAGGCAAGUAGAAACUUGAAAAGUGCUUGUGCACUGGGGCUUGUUCUCACCUGCUGUUCUUGGCAACCUGUGGCCACCACAUGUGAACGAGCCUAGUCCAGUCGGCUGAAGGAUGAGUGGGCCUGCUGAGCAGAGACAAAGCGUGGCAGUGGAAGGCCUCUCUAGACCAGGUUUCUCAACCUCAGUGCUACUGACAUUUUAGAUCAAAUAAUUCUUUGUUAUGGGGAGUUCUUUUGUCCAUUGUAGAAUGUUUAGCAGCACCUUUGGCCUCUACCUCUAGAAGAGCACCUGCCCUUCCUUCGUUGUGACAACUAAAAUUAUGUCCAGACAUGGCCAAAGUUCUCUUGGGGGGCAAAAUUGCUCCUUGUUGAGAACUACUACCCUAACCCAACUUGCCUGCCAAGGCCAGGUGUAUGAGGCCAGGUGUAUGAAAGAGGCCAUUCUAAACCAUCCAGCCCCAGCCAAGACAGUCCAGACAGGAAAAGUGUGCAGCUUGACCCAUGGAAUCAAAAGAAAUAAUAAAUAUUUG